GAGAAGAACGUAGUGAAAUGCGAUAAGUAAUGUGAAUUGCAGAAUUCAGUGAAUCAUCGAAUCUUUGAACGCACCUUGCGCCUUUUGGUAUUCCGAAAGGCACACCUGUUUGAGCGUCAUGAAUACCUCAAUCUCCAUCUUUUCUUCGGAUUGAUGGGUGACUUGGAUGUUGAGCCCUGCUGGUAUGCUAUAUCAGCUGGCUUUAAACUUAUUAGCCGGCUCUGUACUGGAUCGGUUUGACUCGACGUGAUAAUAUUAUCGUUGAGGAUGCAUGUCUCAUGCAGCCGGAAAGUAUCAAAGCAGCUUCUAGCUUGCCUUUAGUGCACUUUUACAUUUUAGACCUCAGAUCAGGUGGGACUACCCGCUGAACUUAAGCAUAUCAAUAAGCGGAGGA
rnacentral:misc_RNA from 1 species